rnacentral:SRP_RNA from 1 species
GCUGGGCAUGGUGGCAUACGCCUGUAGUCCCUGCUACUUGGGAGGCUGAGGUGGGAGAAUCGCUUGAGCCCAGGAGUUCAAGGCUGCUGUGUGCCAUGAUUGUGCCACUGCACUCCAGCCUGGGCAAUAGAGUGAGACCCUGUCUCAA